AUAUGGAUGUCCUCGAAUGCCCAGGGUCAUGCGCAGGGGAUGACACUCAUUCUCAGAUUUCAAAAGCAGUCAUCUUUUAGGAAACGCAUGUUUGAAUACAGAAAUCCUUUGGAGCAACCGAUUUCUAGCACAAUGUUCAGAGGCCUUCAUGUACUCCUUACUGAUGACGAUGAUGUAAAUAGACUGGUAACUAGAAAGCUCCUCGAAAAACUAGGUUGCCAAGUAACUGCUGUUUCAACCGGUUUUCAAUGCCUGAGUGCUCUGGGCCCUUCACUAACAACCUUUCAAGUACUCAUCUUGGAUCUUCAAAUGCCAGAA
rnacentral:misc_RNA from 1 species